GUGGUAAUGCCGGAUGUUCCACAUGAUCGCAUGUGAUUGUGGGAAAGAUUCUAUCGGCGUGGGAUGGGGUCGCGUCCUAUCAGCUUGUUGGUGAGGUAACGGCUCACCAAGGCUUCGACGGGUAGCCGGCCUGAGAGGGCGACCGGCCACAUUGGGACUGAGAUACGGCCCAGACUCCUACGGGAGGCAGCAGUGGGGAAUAUUGCACAAUGGGCGCAAGCCUGAUGCAGCGACGCCGCGUGAGGGAUGGAGGCCUUCGGGUUGUAAACCUCUUUUGUUUGGGAGCAAGCCUUCGGGUGAGUGUACCUUUCGAAUAAGCGCCGGCUAACUACGUGCCAGCAGCCGCGGUAAUACGUAGGGCGCAAGCGUUAUCCGGAUUUAUUGGGCGUAAAGGGCUCGUAGGCGGCUCGUCGCGUCCGGUGUGAAAGUCCAUCGCUUAACGGUGGAUCUGCGCCGGGUACGGGCGGGCUGGAGUGCGGUAGGGGAGACUGGAAUUCCCGGUGUAACGGUGGAAUGUGUAGAUAUCGGAAAGAACA
rnacentral:rRNA from 1 species